UUCUUUGGUUAUCUAGCUGUAUGAGUUUUAUUCUACAUCAUAAAGCUAGGUUACCGGAGUU
rfam:Camponotus floridanus CamFlo_1.0_2.contig2048, whole genome shotgun sequence.